rnacentral:misc_RNA from 1 species
ACAAGGUUUCCGUAGGUGAACCUGCGGAAGGAUCAUUAACCGUUACAAACAGUGUGUGCUGCGGCCCCCGAGGUGAGGCAACGAGCCUUCGGGAGGUCUGGGGUCCGCCCCUUCACGCGCACGCGUCUGCCAUCCUUACUUUACGAGCACCUUCUGUUCUCCCUCGGCAUGCGUCCUGCGCUGCCGUUGGAAUUACAAAACUCUUUUUUGCAUCUAGCAUUACCUGUUCCGACAAUAACAAUCGUUACAACUUUCAACAAUGGAUCUCUUGGCUCUGGCAUCGAUGAAGAACGCAGCGAAAUGCGAUAAGUAGUGUGAAUUGCAGAAUUCAGUGAAUCAUCGAAUCUUUGAACGCACAUUGCGCCCCUCGGUAUUCCGUGGGGCAUGCCUGUUCGAGCGUCAUCUACACCCUCAAGCUCUGCUUGGUGUUGGGCGUCUGUCCCGCCUCGGCGCGCGGACUCGCCCCAAAUGCAUUGGCAGCGGUCUUUGCCUCCUCUCGCGCAGCACAUUGCGCUUCUCGAGGUGUCGCGGACACGCGUCCAGUAAGCAACAUUUACCGUCUUUGACCUCGGAUCAGGUAGGGAUACCCGCUGAACUUAAGC